GACGAACGCUGGCGGCGUGCCUAAUACAUGCAAGUAGAACGCACAGUUUAUACCGUAGCUUGCUACACCAUAGACUGUGAGUUGCGAACGGGUGAGUAACGCGUAGGUAACCUGCCUGGUAGCGGGGGAUAACUAUUGGAAACGAUAGCUAAUACCGCAUAAUAUUGAUUAUUGCAUGAUAAUUGAUUGAAAGAUGCUAUUGCAUCACUACCAGAUGGACCUGCGUUGUAUUAGCUAGUAGGUGAGGUAACGGCUCACCUAGGCGACGAUACAUAGACGACCUGAGAGGGUGAUCGGCCACACUGGGACUGAGACACGGCCCAGACUCCUACGGGAGGCAGCAGUAGGGAAUCUUCGGCAAUGGACGAAAGUCUGACCGAGCAACGCCGCGUGAGUGAAGAAGGUUUUCGGAUCGUAAAGCUCUGUUGUAAGAGAAGAACGGGUGUGAGAGUGGAAAGUUCACACUGUGACGGUAUCUUACCAGAAAGGGACGGCUAACUACGUG
rnacentral:rRNA from 1 species